UACGUAGGGUGCAAGCGUUACUCGGAAUUACUGGGCGUAAAGCGUGCGCAGGCGGCUUUGCAAGUCAGAUGUGAAAUCCCCGGGCUUAACCUGGGAACUGCAUUUGUGACUGCAUGGCUGGAGUGCGGCAGAGGGGGAUGGAAUUCCGCGUGUAGCAGUGAAAUGCGUAGAUAUGCGGAGGAACACCGAUGGCGAAGGCAGUCCCCUGGGCCUGCACUGACGCUCAUGCACGAAAGCGUGGGGAGCAAACAGG
rnacentral:rRNA from 1 species